rnacentral:rRNA from 1 species
GACGAACGCUGGCGGCGUGCCUAACACAUGCAAGUCGAACGAGGUGCGGACGGGUUAGCAACACGUGCCAACCUACCCAUCAGACGGGGAUAACACUUGGCAAAACGCGCAUAUACCGCAUAUCGAUGGAUGGAUUCGUGGUGUAUUAGCUAGUUGGGGAGGUAACGGCUCACCAAGGCUACGAUGCGUAACUGGUCUGAGAGGAUGAUCCGUCACACUGGGACUGAGACACGGUCCAGACUCCUACGGGAGGCAGCAGUGGGGAAUAUUCGGCAAUGGGCGAAAGUCUGACCGAGCCACGCCGCGUGUGUGAAGAAGGUCUUCGGAUUGUAAAGCACUGUUGUUAGGGAGGCGGUACCUACAGAAAAAGCACCGGCUAACUCCGUGCCAGCAGCCGCGGUAAUAC